GGGGAAGCGAGAAGUUUCCUUCACUAAUCCAGUCUCAGUUUGGAUUGGUAAGCAGUGCUGGACUCAUUGUUGGAGGGGUUAGGUGCAGGUAAUGCGAAGGGACUUCAAGACUCUCAUUGUCAGCUGCUGCUCUCUAGAGAACCAGGAAAGAGGCUGAUGUGCCAAACAUUAAAUCUAAAGUUAACACAUCAUCUGGUAAUGUAGAUUCAAUUAGGUUUGUUAUUUUAAACUUGCUUUUAUCUGGCGCAGAGAGUGCAGGGGAGAUGUGGGAGGGAGCUAGCAAGGAAUUAAUAUCCCCCCCCCCCCCCCCCCCCCCCCCCCCCCCCACAAAGAUAUUUUUUUAAUAUCAGGCUAAUAAUGUUCAUGAUUCUUAAACGUGUCCUUGGUUUAGGAGCAAUUAGGAAUGACCAUUAAUACUGGCAUUGUCAUCCAGGCCAAAUCCUAUAAAUGAAUAUAGAAAGAUAUCAAUGGAGGGUCCUUGUCACGAACAUCGAGCCCAGUGGCUGAUACUCAUCAGGCUAUCUACAAAUCCUCAAUCUUAUCCAAAGCCUUACCAUUAAAAUGUAACUAUCUUUAGCUGGAGGUGGGCAAGGUGGACUCCUGUUCAGUGGACUCUUCCUCUUCCUUGUGCUUCACUCCGUUAGUUAAAAAAGCUGGGCUAAAAACCUCUUCAAUGGCUGGGCUUUGGGAGCAGGGAAAGGAACGUAUGCUGAUCCUAACCAUGCAACCAUCAGUUCUCAGAUUGGGAGAAAUGCUGAGAUGACAGUUUUGUGACUUGCCCUUUGCAAUGUCGACUAGCUCAUAUUUUCAUGGUAAUUCUGAUUGGACAUUGCCAACCGAAGCAACUAGCCCACAUUGUGCAGGUGGGAACUGCAGAUGCCGGUUUAAACCGAAGAUAAGACACAAAAAGCUGGAGUAACUCAGCGGGUCAGGCAGCAUCUCUGGAGAAAAGGAAUAGGUGACGUUUCUGGUCGAAAACAGUCUACAUUAACUGUUAAAACUUCCAGUAUUUUCCCUGUCAGAGUGAGCUUUUGUUUUGCUAAAUACAAGUCUACAUGUUUGAGAACUCCACGUUUUACUUCUUUAAUAGAUUUUGAAAAUAUAAACUUCAGUCAUAUCCAUCUACGGAGGAAUAAUCUUCCUCAGUUUACAAGUACAAAUAGUUACCUCAUCAGUCAUCCGAUUCCCAGCAGGAGCUGUUGCUUCUGACUAGGCAACAUGAUUUACUCCUUGGAGUUCUCUAAAUUGCCUGCCCACUUCACAACCACUUAUGUGCACUCAGCAUGAAGCAUAGCCUUCUCUAGUUCACCCUUUGGCUGCCAAACUAGUUCAGGGACAUGAGGCUCAAAUGCCUCGAGCUGCUAUCCUCUUUGCAGGUGGUCCAGGAGGAUGUCAUUACCUUCCUCCUCAAUCUGCAACACCAACGUCUGUAGAUAAGAACUGACCACAACCAUAAAUAUUCAUUGCAUCCUGCCUCUUUGUGAAACGUUUGGUCCAGAGAUGUUGCCAACUGGAUGGGAAUUCCAGGAAUUUGGGGUGUGGAGGAGAGAUAACAAUUUGAGUAGUACAAGCAGGCAACUUGCCACUGUUAUUACACACCAAGUGGGAAACUGUGGCCAGUUACAAGGAGAUGUUUCAAUUGUGAGUGCGACUCCAUUUGUAUUUAACCAUCCCGGCAGUGUUUUUCAAGGUAUUUUUUACACUGUUUCUGCCAGCCUGCCUAUCUAUCCACGUUAAACAUAACUCGCUGGUUCUCUCUGCCAGGCUGCUCACUUGCAAGUGCUCAUGAGAGGUGGGAAGGAGCCGAGAACUAGCAGUAAGAGUUAAAGCUGUCUGACAUUUAUUGUACCCUUCCCCUACCAGCAGAUACACCAGCCACCAUGUUGAGCCACUGCAGUAUUUGGUUGGGAAGACGCAGGACUUUGAUCCCUGUCAGCCACGACGGGGAUUUAUGCUGUCAGAUCAAAGAUACUCAUCAGCAAACCAUGCCAUCAACCAAAAGGAAAGACAAUAUCUGUCUCCACCUAUUGAGAUCUCUGAAUCAUCUGCUCAAGGCUAGUCUUAAAGCCUGAAAGGUGGAUAGAGUGGAAUAGCUAAUAAAGUUUGCUGGAAACAUUUAGCCAGUCCAGCAUCGACUGGGAAGAGGGAGUGUUGAUCUUUUGUCAGGCGAAAGGGAGAAAGGUAAGAGAAGUAAGGUUAGUGGGCGAGGCCUUUUAGAUGUACAAUUGUGUUGCCUUUUGGAUGGGAGAGAGUCUAUAGUGAGUCUGGGAGGACAAUAACAAGAUUAUUAAUAGAAAUCGUUUUGUUGUACAUAGUGUACAGUUGUUAGCUCUAACGUGCCUAGAUUUCCUUAAUGUAACAUAACCUAGCAGAAACCAAGUAACAGCCCCUCACUCUAAUAUACACUUAGUGGCUGUUUCACACUACAAUAACCUGAAAAAAAAUUCACAAACUUUUGUAAUUCUGAAGAUUUUCUUAUAUUCAAAAAAAUUAAUAUUUUAUUUAUUUUUAUUAAUGUUAUAGAGAUCACUGUACAGAAUCCCAAUUUACAGUCUACGCAAAACAAAAAAGGUUUAAAGUAUGAAUAUGUAUUAUUGCUGAAAAUGGGGCAGAAGGAUAUGGUGCGAUGUAAUUUUCUGGGACAAUCUACCUCAAUACUUCUAUCAGAUAUGAUGUGUGGAAUUAUUAAUAUUUCACAAUAUUCUGUUCUGAAUCUAAAUGCAUUUUUUCUUGGUGUACAGGGCCGACUGAUGACUGACUUAAUUCAAGUGUAUAUUUCUGUUUUGUUUGGGUGGGUGGGGGGAGGGUGUCCCAUUUUCAAAAGAAAAAGUAAUGAAUCUGUCCACAUGUUCAAAACUGGAAACCCCUGGUCAGAAAGGAAUGGUCACCCAAGAAGGAGAGGGAAUGGUUCCUUGGCUGCACAUGCAGCCUAGAACAGUCAGGUUAAUUUGAAACAAUAAAUAAACUUGCUUUAUGUUUAUAAUAUGCACAACUUUUAGUCACCAAAAGCUCCUGGUGCAUGUGGCCGUGUAGAUUAGGGGGUUACAAAGAUUCACAUAAACACUAAUGAUUUGGAUCAGGGGGUUACAAUCUAGAAACUCUUAUCGCAUCUCGCUCUUAAUAAAAGUGAAGAUGUCAGGAACGGGAGGGUGCAGACUAAAAAUCAGGGUGAAGUAAUCAUACUUCAUAGAUCUCACUCCAAGCUCUCGAUGCCCGAUCCAUAACAUGAGGAAAAACGGCCUCAAAUUUGACCCCAGCUUGGCGGAGCAUUGGUAGAAGAAACUACUUAUCAAUCUCAAACGAAGGCACAAGUAUUCAGAUACUUGUCUGUUAGCGGGAGAUUCUUGAUCUUACCCCCCCCCUCCCUUUUAAAAAAAAAAACUUGUGAAAGUGAUAUCAACAGAAAUAUUAAAAGUUGACGUUGCAUUGGUCAGAGUGUGGGAAUCGGUCGGCACUCUACACCUCAGGCUGUGCUGUGAUCUCCAACAGCUUCGUAAAGAAGAGGGUGAAACUUUAGGAACCAGGCAGUCCAUACACAACACCUACACUACCAGUAGAUGUGGUUAUUGUUCCUUCACAAUGAACAUUGUAAUCAUCGGUGUAUGUAAAGACUUGCUCCAAAAAUCCUUCUCAUUAUUCAUUGCUGCUAUACACCCUUGCUCCAGUUAUACAUCGCCACUACGAGGACUUGUUCAGUAUUUUUCCCCAACCCGCGUAUGGUUGUGACAUACCUAGCAUUGGUAAGAGAUUCCUCAACAGUGGAAACUUGUGUGCCAUUGAAAUUGUGCUGUGCCAUAUAAUCAGAAUGCCAAGACAGAUCAUCACAGCAAAAAAUUUAUUUAUCAGUUUUUUUUUAAUUAUGCAGGGAAAGGAAUACAGUAUGAUUGAUGUUUGAACAAGUAUAAUGUUAUGAAAUCCUAGACUCAAAUUCUCAAUACGGUGCUAACCCUCGAGUUUAGAGGCUAGUAGAUUUUAGUGAAAAGAAAAACUCGCUACCUUCUGAUCUUAGGAGAUAUUCAGGUGCCACAAACUAUCUGAAGGUGCAAUUAUUUUUGGUCACAUUUUUGUAAACACAGUACAGCAUCCGAAGUGGGGAAAGCUAAAGUAAUAUUAAAAAUCUGCAAUUUGAAAACAAUUUUUUUUGCUGAAACGGGUCAUUGCUUCAUUUGAGGGAACAACAGUCAGGACUGUAACACGACUGAGCCAUUCUCCUCAUUGUGUAUAGGAGACAAAAAUAUAUCAGUGGUCCUGUCUCACAUAAGUCAGAUAAUUAGGUUAACCCCAAUAUAAAGAUACAAGAGGCAACAGAUGCUGGAAUCUGGAGGGGAAAAAUACUUGAAAAUGGAUGGGGCAGCCUCUGAAUGCACACAAAACGUUUACCCGCAAACUCCAUGAGUUCCUGGUACAAUUAUGCAUCUCAAAUGUACUAAACAAAUUGGGUGACCAAAUCUAAAAUACCACUUUGUUGGGUAAAAUCAUUAAAUUGCUGUAAGAACUCAAUAGGUCAAGCAGCAUCAGUGGAUUAGGAUUGUGCCUUUGAGAUGUAUAAUUUUGUGAGGAAUUUGCAGGAAUUAUUCCUUUCAACAAGAGCGGUUAUAGAUAAAAAAUAAUUUCUUAAUAAUGUAAAUCAUGCAAAAUAAAUAUAAACAAGUUAGGUUUUUUUUAAUAGACAAAUCUUGAACUAAUCAGAUUGUAGACAGAACUUCCAGCAGAGACUAGUCUGUUGAUUGAUCAGAGAUGCACACAAUAGUGAUGUUCAAUAGAGAUCUGGAACAAGAGGGCUUCAUGGCCAAUUUAAAGAUUCUUUCUAGUGGAGACAAAAAAUAAUUGUUGGUAACAAUGCAAUGGGACUUUUUAUUUGCACAACAUUUGUCUCUUUAUUGGAGUGUUUCAUGAUUGGAUUCCAACAGACUAAAGCUCCAGGUACCACAUUUUUUGGCAUCUGAUUAGAAUGGCAAUGUUGUGAAUUUCACUAUUUCGUGAUGUUACACAAGUGUUCUUAACCAUGUUUUGGGGACAAUUAUCUUUUGUUCCACUGCCCCUCUAACAUCUGAACAAGUCCUCUCGGCAUUGACUGGAGCAAGGGUAAACCCAUUUAUCAGGGGUGUUUAAUAUGCAAACCAAGCAGGGCCAUGAAAACAGAUUUCCCUUUUUAAUUAUUAACCGUCAUCAUUUUAUUGUGUUUUUUGGCAAGAAUUUAAAUGAAGUGAUUCCGAGCUGAAGGGAGGGUGGGUGCAGUAAGUCUUUAUGCAGGUGUAACAUGUCUUUUGCAAGCUACUUUUAUUUCUCUUGUGCAAGAAGAUAAACAGGGUGGAGACGUAUGGGUAAGCGUAGAGAUUUUGUGCACAAUUUAUUUUUGCAUUUUAAAAUGAGCCUGGGAAGAAGUGUAAAUAUAAAUCACCGCUGUUCAAAGUGGUCGCUUCUAAAAAAAAAUUAUAUCUGUCUGAUUUCAAAUUAUGCCAGUUAUCACAAGCAAAUGUAUUGGAAUAAACUGUGUUGGCUUUCUGUCUGUAAAUAUAUGUCUGGUGUAAAAUGAAGAAAGUGUGUUUCAUUAGUGAACAGGGUAUUGGCAGGACAACUGUGUGUUAUUUCUGAUCCAGACUUCAAUUGCAGAGUCUUCAAACUGUUACCAGAGCUCAGUGGUGGCCUCCAACAAUAUUUUUCAUUAUCUUUUUGUUUGGGGAAAACUGGAACUUUGGCUGUCUACAUGAAACUGAAGAAAGGCGACCCACUGCAUGCCACGGUAGCCCGUGUACAGUACCGUCCCUGAGCGAGUUGCGACGCAAAGUUAAACACAAAACCUAGAACAAAAAUGGAAUUGCCCUGAGUUUGGGAUUAUCCGGUUGUCUGGUUCCUUUACUUUGUCUGGUUCCUCUAACUCUUGUCUUCAUGUCCGUACUCCAGUGUGAUACUAAAUGUUUUUCCAUUGGCAAAUCCUUCAUUUGGAAGAGACAUUAUAAGCUGUGGACUCCAAAAACAAAAACAAAGUGGACUGCCCUGGACAUUAUAACCUAUUUCUCUCACCUCAACUCCACACACAGGUUGGAUGAGAUAACGAAGAGACAGUACAUCUACUGCACCCGAACUUUUAAACAGCUUUUGUGGACUUAAAGCUGGCUCCUUUCGAGGGCUUGGACGAUCACUUCUUGAAAUUUCAAGUAAAUGGGAGACAAUGAUUUAAUCUUUUCUUUGUGUAUUUUUCGAGGGGGGGAAAAGGCUAAAUUUGAAGUCAGUUGUUAAUACUGUGCUUGGCUUGUUGUUUCUGUAGUAAAAAUGCAAAACUGAUUCUUGAAGGGAAA